rnacentral:rRNA from 1 species
UACGUAGGGUGCGAGCGUUGUCCGGAAUUAUUGGGCGUAAAGGGCUCGUAGGCGGUUUGUCACGUCGGGAGUGAAAACUCGGGGCUUAACCCCGAGCCUGCUUCCGAUACGGGCAGACUAGAGGUAUGCAGGGGAGAACGGAAUUCCUGGUGUAGCGGUGAAAUGCGCAGAUAUUGGGAGGAACACCAGUGGCGAAGGCGGCUCACUGGACCGGAACUGACGCUGAGGCGCGAAAGCGUGGGGAGCAAACAGG